UCCCUGGUUUCCUACUGGUUAAGGAUUUGGCAUUGUCACUGCUGUGUCUCAGGUUCGAGCCCUGGCCUGGGAA
rnacentral:tRNA from 1 species